CUGCGGCAGGCCUAACACAUGCAAGUCNAGCGGCCGUAGCAAUACGGCAGCGGCWGACGGGAGAGUAACACGUGGGAACGCGCCCUUCGGUUCGGGAUAACUCAGGGAAACUUGGGCUAAUACCGAAUACGCCCUUACGGGGAAAGAUUUAUUGCCGAAGGAACGGCCCGCGUCCGAUUAGCUAGUUGGUGAGGUAACGGCUCACCAAGGCGACGAUCGGUAGCUGGUCUGAGAGGAUGACCAGCCUCACUGGGAUUGAGACACGGCCCAGACUCCUACGGGAGGCAGCAGUGGGGAAUAUUGGACAAUGGGCGCAAGCCUGAUCCAGCCAUGCCGCGUGGGUGAUGAAGGCCCUAGGGUUGUAAAGCCCUUUCAGCGGGGAAGAUAAUGACGGUACCCGCAGAAGAAGCCCCGGCUAACUUCGUGCCAGCAGCCGCGGUAAUACGGAGGGGGCUAGCGUUGCUCGGAAUUACUGGGCGUAAAGCGCACGUAGGCGGCUUUCUAAGUCGGGGGUGAAAUCCUGGAGCUCAACUCCAGAACUGCCUUCGAUACUGGAAAGCUCGAGUCCGGGAGAGGUGAGUGGAACUGCGAGUGUAGAGGUGAAAUUCGUAGAUAUUCGCAAGAACA
rnacentral:rRNA from 1 species